rnacentral:rRNA from 1 species
AGAACCAAAUCNUUGCAGUCGACGAGAGACCUUCGGGUCUCUAGUGGCGAACGGGUGAGUAACACGUAGGGAACCUGCCCGCGCACCGGGAAUACGCUCUGGAAACGGAGAACAAAUCCCGAUGUACAGGAAGGAGGCAUCUUCUUUCUGUGAAACAUCCUUUAGGGGAUGGGGCGCGGAUGGACCUGCGGUGCAUUAGUUGGUUGGCGGGGUAAAGGCCCACCAAGACGAUGAUGCAUAGCCGGCCUGAGAGGGCGGACGGCCACAUUGGGACUGAGACACGGCCCAGACUCCUGCGGGAGGCAGCAGUAGGGAAUUUUCGUCAAUGGGCGCAAGCCUGAACGAGCGAUGCCGCGUGAGUGAAGAAGGCCCUCGGGUCGUAAAGCUCUGUUGCGGGGGAAAAAAGGCAGCAUCAGGAAAUGGGUGCUGACUGAUGGUGCCCCGCCAGAAAGUCACGGCUAACUACGUGCCAGCAGCCGCGGUAAUACGUAGGUGGCGAGCGUUAUCCGGAACGAUUGGGCGUAAAGGGUGCGCAGGCGGUCCUGCAAGUCUGGAGUGAAACGCAUGAGCUCAACUCAUGCAUGGCUUUGGAAACUGGAGGACUGGAGAGCAGGAGAGGGCGGUGGAACUCCAUGUGUAGCGGUAAAAUGCGUAGAUAUAUGGAAGAACACCAGUGGCGAAGGCGGCCGCCUGGCCUGUU